ensembl:lncRNA
UUCAAAAUGUCAGGUAGAGUCAUGUUAUUGCAGUGUGCAAAGUCACUCUUUCAAAAUACACCUUUGAAUCUUAACAAAUGUCUUUACUGGUAAAACAAUGAAUAAAUGACGAUGAGACAAUACAUGCUGCUCUGUACAUCACCUAUACAUGCUGCUCUGUACAUCACCUAUACAUGCUGCUCUGUACAUCACCUAUACAUGCUGCUCUGUACAUCACCUAUACAUGCUGCUCUGUACAUCACCUAUACAUGCUGCUCUGUACAUCACCAAUACAUGCUGCUCUGUACAUCACCUAUACAUGCUGCUCUGUACAUCACCUAUACAUGCUGCUCUGUACAUCACCAAUACAUGCUGCUCUGUACAUCACCAAUACAUGCUGCUCUGUACAUCACCUAUACAUGCUGCUCUAUACAUCACCUAUACAUGCUGCUCUAUACAUCACCAAUACAUCACCAAUACAUGCUGCUCUGUACAUCACCAAUACAUCACCAAUACAUGCUGCUCUAUACAUCACCAAUACAUGCUGCUCUAUACAUCACCAAUACAUGCUGCUCUGUACAUCACCUAUACAUCACCUAUACAUGCUGCUCUGUACAUCACCUAUACAUCACCAAUACAUGCUGCUCUGUACAUCACCAAUACAUCACCAAUACAUGCUGCUCUGUACAUCACCUAUACAUGCUGCUCAAUACAUCACCAAUACAUGCUGCUCUGUACAUCACCAAUACAUCACCAAUACAUGCUGCUCUGUACAUCACCAAUACAUCACCAAUACAUGCUGCUCUGUACAUCACCUAUACAUGCUGCUCAAUACAUCACCUAUACAUGCUGCUCAAUACAUCACCAAUACAUGCUGCUCUGUACAUCACCAAUACAUCACCAAUACAUGCUGCUCUGUACAUCACCUAUACAUGCUGCUCUGUACAUCACCAAUACAUGCUACUCUAUACAUCACCUAUACAUGCUGCUCUGUACAUCACCAAUACAUGCUGCUCUGUACAUCACCAAUACAUGCUGCUCUGUACAUCACCAAUACAUGCUGCUCUGUACAUCACCUAUACAUCACCUAUACAUGCUGCUCUGUACAUCACCAAUACAUGCUGCUCUGUACAUCACCUAUACAUGCUGCUCUGUACAUCACCUAUACAUGCUGCUCUGUACAUCACCUAUACAUGCUGCUCUGUAAAUCACCUAUACAUCACCUAUACAUGCUGCUCUGUACAUCACCUAUACAUGCUGCUCUGUACAUCACCUAUACAUGCUGCUCUGUACAUCACCUAUACAUCACCUAUACAUGCUGCUCUGUACAUCACCAAUACAUCACCUAUACAUGCUGCUCUGUACAUCACCUAUACAUGCUACUCUGUACAUCACCUAUACAUGCUGCUCUGUACAUCACCAAUACAUCACCAAUACAUGCUGCUCUGUACAUCACCUAUACAUGCUGCUCUAUACAUCACCAAUACAUGCUGCUCUGUACAUCACCAAUACAUGCUGCUCUGUACAUCACCUAUACAUGCUGCUCUGUACAUCACCAAUACAUGCUGCUCUAUACAUCACCUAUACAUGCUGCUCUGUACAUCACCUAUACAUGCUGCUCUAUACAUCACCUAUACAUGCUGCUCUGUACAUCACCAAUACAUGCUGCUCUGUACAUCACCAAUACAUCACCAAUACAUGCUGCUCUGUACAUCACCAAUACAUCACCAAUACAUGCUGCUCUAUACAUCACCAAUACAUGCUGCUCUGUACAUCACCAAUACAUGCUGCUCUGUACAUCACCAAUACAUCACCAAUACAUGCUGCUCUAUACAUCACCUAUACAUGCUGCUCAAUACAUCACCAAUACAUGCUGCUCUGUACAUCACCAAUACAUCACCAAUACAUGCUGCUCUGUACAUCACCAAUACAUCACCAAUACAUGCUGCUCUGUACAUCACCAAUACAUGCUGCUCUGUACAUCACCAAUACAUGCUACUCUAUACAUCACCUAUACAUGCUACUCUGUACAUCACCAAUACAUGCUGCUAUGUACAUCACCAAUACAUGCUACUCUAUACAUCACCUAUACAUGCUACUCUAUACAUCACCUAUACAUGCUGCUCUGUACAUCACCAAUACAUGCUGCUCUGUACAUCACCAAUACAUGCUACUCUAUACAUCACCAAUACAUGCUGCUCUGUACAUCACCAAUACAUGCUGCUCUGUACAUCACCAAUACAUGCUGCUCUGUACAUCACCUAUACAUCACCAAUACAUGCUGCUAUGUACAUCACCAAUACAUGCUGCUCUGUACAUCACCAACACAUGCUGCUCUGUACAUCACCUAUACAUCACCAAUACAUGCUGCUCUGUACAUCACCAAUACAUGCUGCUCUGUACAUCACCAAUACAUGCUGCUCUAUACAUCACCUAUACAUGCUGCUCUGUACAUCACCUAUACAUGCUGCUCUGUACAUCACCAAUACAUGCUGCUCUGUACAUCACCUAUACAAGCUGCUCUGUACAUCACCUAUACAUGCUGCUCUGUACAUCACCAAUACAUCACCAAUACAUGCUGCUCUGUACAUCACCAAUACAUCACCAAUACAUGCUGCUCUGUACAUCACCAAUACAUCACCAAUACAUGCUGCUCUGUACAUCACCAAUACAUGCUGCUCUAUACAUCACCUAUACAUGCUGCUCUGUACAUCACCUAUACAUGCUGCUCUGUACAUCACCAAUACAUGCUGCUCUGUACAUCACCAAUACAUGCUGCUCUGUACAUCACCUAUACAUGCUGCUCUGUACAUCACCAAUACAUGCUGCUCUGUACAUCAGCUAUACAUGCUGCUCUGUACAUCACCUAUACAUGCUGCUCUGUACAUCAGCUAUACAUGCUGCUCUGUACAUCACCAAUACAUCACCAAUACAUGCUGCUCUAUACAUCACCAAUACAUCACCAAUACAUGCUGCUCUAUACAUCACCAAUACAUCACCAAUACAUGCUGCUCUAUACAUCACCAAUACAUGCUGCUCUGUACAUCACCAAUACAUCACCAAUACAUGCUGCUCUGUACAUCACCAAUACAUCACCAAUACAUGCUGCUCUGUACAUCACCUAUACAUGCUGCUCAAUACAUCACCAAUACAUGCUGCUCUGUACAUCACCAAUACAUCACCAAUACAUGCUGCUCUAUACAUCACCUAUACAUGCUACUCUGUACAUCACCUAUACAUCACCAAUACAUGCUGCUCUGUACAUCACCUAUACAUGCUGCUCAAUACAUCACCAAAUACAUGCUGCUCUGUACAUCACCAAUACAUCACCAAUACAUGCUGCUCUGUACAUCACCAAUACAUCACCAAUACAUGCUGCUCUGUACAUCACCUAUACAUGCUGCUCUGUACAUCACCAAUACAUGCUACUCUAUACAUCACCUAUACAUGCUGCUCUGUACAUCACCAAUACAUGCUACUCUAUACAUCACCUAUACAUGCUACUCUGUACAUCACCAAUACAUGCUGCUAUGUACAUCACCAAUACAUGCUACUCUAUACAUCACCUAUACAUGCUACUCUAUACAUCACCUAUACAUGCUGCUCUGUACAUCACCAAUACAUGCUGCUCUGUACAUCACCAAUACAUGCUGCUCUGUACAUCACCUAUACAUCACCAAUACAUGCUGCUCUGUACAUCACCAAUACAUGCUGCUCUGUACAUCACCAAUACAUGCUGCUCUAUACAUCACCUAUACAUGCUGCUCUGUACAUCACCUAUACAUGCUGCUCUGUACAUCACCAAUACAUCACCAAUACAUGCUGCUCUGUACAUCACCAAUACAUCACCAAUACAUGCUGCUCUGUACAUCACCAAUACAUCACCAAUACAUGCUGCUCUGUACAUCACCAAUACAUCACCAAUACAUGCUGCUCUAUACAUCACCUAUACAUCACCAAUACAUGCUGCUCUGUACAUCACCAAUACAUGCUGCUCUGUACAUCACCAAUACAUGCUGCUCUAUACAUCACCUAUACAUGCUGCUCUGUACAUCACCUAUACAUGCUGCUCUGUACAUCACCAAUACAUCACCAAUACAUGCUGCUCUGUACAUCACCGAUACAUCACCAAUACAUGCUGCUCUAUACAUCACCUAUACAUGCUGCUCUGUACAUCACCUAUACAUGCUGCUCUGUACAUCACCUAUACAUGCUGCUCUGUACAUCACCAAUACAUGCUACUCUAUACAUCACCUAUACAUGCUGCUCUAUACAUCACCAAUACAUGCUGCUCUGUACAUCACCUAUACAUGCUGCUCUAUACAUCACCUAUACAUGCUGCUCUGUACAUCACCUAUACAUGCUGCUCUGUACAUCACCUAUACAUGCUGCUCUGUACAUCACCAAUACAUGCUGCUCUGUACAUCACCAAUACAUCACCAAUACAUGCUGCUCUGUACAUCACCAAUACAUCACCAAUACAUGCUGCUCUGUACAUCACCAAUACAUCACCAAUACAUGCUGCUCUGUACAUCACCAAUACAUCACCAAUACAUGCUGCUCUGUACAUCACCAAUACAUCACCAAUACAUGCUGCUCUGUACAUCACCUAUACAUGCUGCUCUGUACAUCACCAAUACAUCACCAAUACAUGCUGCUCUGUACAUCAGCUAUACAUGCUGCUCUGUACAUCACCAAUACAUGCUGCUCUGUACAUCAGCUAUACAUGCUGCUCUGUACAUCAGCUAUACAUGCUGCUCUGUACAUCAGCUAUACAUGCUGCUCUGUACAUCACCAAUACAUGCUGCUCUGUACAUCACCUAUACAUGCUGCUCUGUACAUCACCAAUACAUGCUGCUCUGUACAUCACCUAUACAUGCUGCUCUGUACAUCACCAAUACAUGCUGCUCUGUACAUCACCAAUACAUGCUGCUCUGUACAUCACCUAUACAUCACCUAUACAUGCCGCUCUGUACAUCACCAAUACAUGCUGCUCUGUACAUCACCAAUACAUGCUGCUCUGUACAUCACCUAUACAUGCUGCUCUGUACAUCACCAAUACAUGCUGCUCUGUACAUCACCAAUACAUGCUGCUCUGUACAUCACCUAUACAUGCUGCUCUGUACAUCACCUAUACAUGCUGCUCUAUACAUCACCAAUACAUCACCUAUACAUGCUACUCUGUACAUCACCUAUACAUGCUGCUCUGUACAUCACCUAUACAUGCUGCUCUAUACAUCACCUAUACAUGCUACUCUAUACAUCACCAAUACAUGCUGCUCUGUACAUCACCUAUACAUGCUGCUCUGUACAUCACCUAUACAUGCUGCUCUAUACAUCACCAAUACAUGCUGCUCUGUAUAUCACCUAUACAUGCUGCUCUAUACAUCACCUAUACAUGCUGCUCUGUACAUCACCAAUACAUGCUGCUCUGUACAUCACCUAUACAUGCUACUCUAUACAUCACCUAUACAUGCUGCUCUGUACAUCACCAAUACAUGCUACUCUAUACAUCACCUAUACAUGCUGCUCUGUACAUCACCAAUAAAUGCUGCUCUGUACAUCACCAAUACAUGCUACUCUAUACAUCACCUAUACAUGCUGCUCUGUACAUCACCUAUACAUGCUGCUCUGUACAUCACCUAUACAUGCUGCUCUGUACAUCACCAAUACAUCACCAAUACAUGCUACUCUGUACAUCACCUAUACAUGCUACUCUGUACAUCACCAAUACAUCACCAAUACAAAUGAUGUGGCUGUGAGAGCAGAGGGAAUUGUGCUGACUUUAACUGGGCAUGUGUCCCAAAUGGCACCCUCCUGCCUUUAUAGUGUGCUACCCCAUAGUCCCUGUUCAAAUGUAGUGCACUAUAAAGGGAGUAGGGUGCCAUUUUUGAAUGACUAACUUAGUCUGACCUUGAGUUGGGGUUUAGAGGAGGCAGGCCUUGAUGGAGUGUGGAGCCACCUCAUAAUUUACUGCCCUUAUCCCAAUUAAAGAACUGUAAAAACAUUCAAAUUAAUGCAGUCUUAACUUCUGGAGCAGGCCCUACUUUUCUUAAUUAGUGCAUAAUUAUUCCGAUUUUGAUAUCCGCUGAAAACGAUCACAUGGAAAUUAUUUCAGGCUCUGUAACAAUAGCUCUUGUAUGAUAUAUAAAUAUAUAUAUAUAUAUAUAUAUAUGCUCUUCUGCUAAAAUCUCUAUUAACAUGUGGAAGUAAUUAACUGGUAAUUACAUUGGAAGUACAACGACCAUUAGGAAGUUUGAUAGCCUCUGGUCUGUCACUCAGGCCAGAAAGUUCAGCCGUCUGUGAAAAACGAUGGUCACUCCAUGAAGAAGCUUGGAUAGUAAACUAACAGACAUUGUAGCUCAGACAGGACACUAACAAGACAUUGUAGCUCAGACAGGACACUAACAAGACAUUGUAGCUCUGACAGGACACUAACAAGACAUUGUAUCUCAGACAGGACACUAACAAGACAUUGUAGCUCAGACAGGACACAGACAGGACACUAACAAGACAUUGUAGCUCAGACAGGACACUAACAAGACAUUGUAUCUCAGACAGGACACUAACAAGACAUUGUAGCUCAGACAGGACACAGACAGGACACUAACACGACAUUGUAGCUCAGACAGGACACUAACAAGACAUUGUAUCUCAGACAGGACACUAACACGACAUUGUAGCUCAGACAGGACACUAACAAGUCAUUGUAUCUCAGACAGGACACUAACAAGACAUUGUAUCUCAGACAGGACACUAACAAGACAUUGUAGCUCAGACAGGACACAGACAGGACACUAACAUGACAUUGUAGCUCAGACAGGACACUAACAAGACAUUGUAUCUCAGACAGGACACUAACAAGACAUUGUAGCUCAGACAGGACACAGACAGGACACUACCACGACAUUGUAGCUCAGACAGGACACUACCACAACAUUGUAUCUCAGACAGGAUACUACCACAACAUUGUAUCUCAGACAGGACACUAACAAGACUUUGUAUCUCAGACAGGACACUAACCCGUCAUUGUAUCUCAGACAGGACACUAACAAGACUUUGUAUCUCAGACAGGUCACUAACCCGUCAUUGUAUCUCAGACAGGACAAAAACACGUCAUUGUAUCUCAGACAGGAAACUACCACAACAUUGUAUCUCAGACAGGACACUAACAAGACAUUAUAGCUCAAACAGGACACUACCACAACAUUGUAUCUCAGACAGGACAAUAACACAUCAUUGUAUCUCUGACAGGACACAGACAGGACACUAACACAACAUUAUAGCUCAAACAGGACACUACCACAACAUUGUAUCUCAGACAGGACACUACCACAACAUUGUAUCUCAGACAGGAUACUACCACAACAUUGUAUCUCAGACAGGACACUAACAAGACUUUGUAUCUCAGACAGGACAAAAACACGUCAUUGUAUCUCAGACAGGACACUACCACAACAUUGUAUCUCAGACAGGACACUAACAAGACAUUAUAGCUCAAACAGGACACUACCACAACAUUGUAUCUCAGAUAGGACAAUAACACAUCAUUGUAUCUCAGACAGGACACAGACAGGACACUAACACAACAUUAUAGCUCAAACAGGACACUACCACAACAUUGUAUCUCAGACAGGACACUGACAAGACAUAGUAGCACAUACAGGACAAUAACACAUCAUUGUAUCCACUAUUGACAAGGUGGAAAAUACAGAUCUUAUUGACAUCAUUGGUCAGCUAUAAAAAUCUUCUUUUU